rnacentral:rRNA from 1 species
CCUACGGGAGGCAGCAGUGGGGAAUAUUGGACAAUGGGGGGAACCCUGAUCCAGCCAUGCCGCGUGUGUGAAGAAGGCCCUCGGGUUGUAAAGCACUUUCAGUGAGGAAGAACGCCUGGUGGUUAAUACCCAUCAGGAAAGACAUCACUCACAGAAGAAGCACCGGCUAACUCCGUGCCAGCAGCCGCGGUAAUACGGAGGGUGCGAGCGUUAAUCGGAAUUACUGGGCGUAAAGCGCGCGUAGGUGGCUUGAUAAGCCGGUUGUGAAAGCCCCGGGCUCAACCUGGGAACGGCAUCCGGAACUGUCAAGCUAGAGUGCAGGAGAGGAAGGUAGAAUUCCCGGUGUAGCGGUGAAAUGCGUAGAGAUCGGGAGGAAUACCAGUGGCGAAGGAGGCCUUCUGGACUGACACUGACACUGAGGUGCGAAAGCGUGGGUAGCAAACAGGAUUAGCUACCCGUGUAGUC